CUUGCUUCCUUGAGCUUCUGGCAAAGAUAUCUCUAAUGAGACAGAAAGGGGUAUUUUUUAUAUACACCCCUAUAUACUUAUUAACCCUUAAUAGGGAACACAUGGGAUGGACGGCAGCAUUGUAACAAAGCUGUGUGAUACAAAAAGUGAAUACAAAUACACUUCCAUCACUCCUGGGCGGCAGCAACGACCACAGUACACAUCAGCCC